rnacentral:tRNA from 1 species
AUGUAGCCAAGUGGAUCANGGCAGNGGAUUGUGAAUCCACCAUGCGCGA